UCCAAAGCAGAAAUGCGCUAUGGGCGGGGCCUGCGUUCGAUUAGCUAGUUGGUGGGGUAAUGGCUCACCAAGGCGACGAUCGAUAGGUGGUCUGAGAGGACGAUCACCCAGACUGGGACUGAGAACGGGCCCAGACUCCUACGGGAGGCAGCAGUCGGGAAUUUUGCGCAAUGGGGGAAACCCUGACGCAGCAAUACCGCGUGUGGGAUGAAGGCCUUCGGGUCGUAAACCACUUUUUUCGGGGACGAUAAUGACGGUACCCGAAGAAUAAGCCACGGCUAACUACGUGCCAGCAGCCGCGGUAAUACGUAGGUGGCAAGCGUUGUCCGGAUUUACUGGGCGUAAAGCGCGCGCAGGCGGUGAAUGAAGUCGAAAGUGAAAGCCCCGGGCUCAACUCGGGAACUGCUUUCGAAACCAGUUCACUUGAAGGCGGAAGAGGGAAGUGGAAUUCCCGAGUGUAGUGGUGGAAUGCGUAGAUAUUCGGAAGAACACCAGAGGCGAAGGCGACUUCCUGGUCCGAUCUUGACGCUGAGGCGCGAAAGCUAGGGGAGCAAACGGGAUUAGAUACCCCGGUAGUCCUAGCUGUAAACGAUGGAUACUAGGUGGUGGAGGUUUA
rnacentral:rRNA from 1 species